AGGAAAAGAAAGAAGGUCAAAGAAGUAAGAAGUACCACUUCCACACACAAUAGGAGGAUAACUUUUUUUUUCCACAAUAUUGUGCUGGACUGCGAGGACAAAUGGCUUCAAGUUAAGUGACAUCUCCUCUCCUCUGAGAGACGACUUCUGGGAAUGGAAUGGGGAGCAAGUCACCCAUCACAGCAAAGCAUUCUGGGAGACUCAAAUGACUGAAGCUUGCUUGUGUGUACAACCCCACUAUUCUACAAAAUGAGACAACACACGUCGAUCACCCUGACCCUCAAACACCCAGAAUACGACAAGAAAAACAAACAGAAGGAAGGAGACAGAUGCCCCAGAGCGCCUAUCAUCUCAACAAUUGACGUGAGUAAUAAUCAACAUCUCCAUCGGCACGCCAUUCAAAUUUUCUCCCAUCGACACCUUAAGAUAUCGCUGGAGGCAUUGUUCAUUUUUGUUCCACAUGGCUGUCACUGGGCAAGUAUCACGCACACGAAUGCCCUCCAACACCACAUCCAC